ACCUCGGUAGGGCAUGCACAGACCUUCCUGUGUGCAGCGGGCUGAUUCGUCAUAUUCCGUGGGACUGGGGACCUCAGUAGGGUGUGGGCAGACCUGUCUGUCUGCAGUGGGGUGAUUCGGCAUGUUCUGUGCAACUCAGGACCUCGGUAGGGCAUCAAAAACUUUGUUUUUAAAGGAUUUUAUUUUCACCUCUUCCUUGGGUAAUUAGAAAACUAUCUUGGAGACAAAAGUGUUGAUAUAAUUAACAUGAUUGACUUUGUGAGCAAGACAUGAAAGCCCAGAGUAUAUUUGUCAGCACUAGGUAAGUGGAUUUUAACUUUGUCCUUCUAGUCUUGCCUUCUGGAAUUGACGGGGUGCACUACCUGCCCAUUUACUACGCUGGAAAUCAUUGCCUGCAAGAUGGACCCAUGGUCCCUAGGGCGACUUGGGAAGGCUUUGCAGUUCAGCAGAUUGCUUUUUCUUAUCCUCGAUUAUUGCAGAAAUCAAGAAUAAAAAGCGCUUGACUGAAGCUGGUCCUUGGUUAGUGAAGUUACAUUUGGCAGAUAAUGGAAUAGAUGGCAAAGGAGAAGAAGGAGAAAGCUUGUUGGAAUUUACUCAAAUGCUGACAUGCCUGAUCAAAUACUCUGCCCAUGUAAGGGAAAUUGACCUUGGGAACAACAUCCUGGGAGAAAUGGCUGCUGCUCAUAUCCUUGGAGCCCUGAGAGCCAGAAAGACAGGUAAACUACCAGUCUUAAAAAUUACAGUCACUCCCCAGAUCUCUUCCGAUACCUUUAGAUCUAUUUGGAAAAAUAGCAAGAAAUCUAAUACUACCUAUAAAAAGAAGAAUAAGGCUAAAAACUGAAUACAGAGGCUGUAUUUCCCUGUGGAAGUCAUCUAUUUCCAUGGCGAACCAGACAUGUCUAGAAAGACUGAUUGUUCUGAAAUAAUAUUUUUCAUUAUAAAUAAACCCUUUCUAAGCUUUAAAAUUAGAUAAGACUAUUUUAUGAAAGUUCAAGGUAGCAUUAAUCCGAUGGCACUCGUCAAUGUCAAAUGUAUAAAAGUCAGUUUUCAUAAGUCGUGCAUGUGAAAUACAUGAUUUGAAAGAAUCAUAUUCUUUACCUAAGACUCUUCCUUCAUAAAUAUGCCUAUAGUUGUGGAAAAAUAGGGAUUUUUGGAAAUAAUAACCAUUUCCUAAAAGACAACAUCCCUAAAAAUUGGUCUCUUCCCCAAAUGAGGAAACUUCUGAUCCCUCAAUUGCACCAUGAAUAAGCCCCAUGGGAAAUAGAAGAGGUGUGGUUGAUAGAUGUGUGGAUGAGACAUUGGGUUAGUUUAGUUGUAUGUGCCAUGAAAACAUGGUGCAGACUUUGGGAGCACACACUGGGAAUUAGCUAUGCCAGAAUUCUCUGUGGAGAACCUGCUUUUUCCAGAUGUGUGACCUGGGGCAAAUCUGCUAAACCUACUGUGCAACUUAGUUUUCCCUUGUGUAAGAGAAAAAUAAAAAUAGCACCUAGCUCAUUUGAUGAGCUUUGAGUGAGCUGCCACAUGUCAAGUAUUUCAGGACAAUGUAUUCUUCAUAAAAGUAAGUAUUAGGGGCUGGUAUACUGUCAUUGUUAGUGUUAGGACUGUCACUAUCUCACUUAUGAUGUAAGAAAAAUAUAAAAGAAAAAAGGAACGCUUUAAAUCUCCUUAUUUUGACUCAAAAAAAACCAACUUCAUUCUUCUGUAUACAAAUGUAGCCCCAGGAGGCAUCAUGGCAAAUUUUUUGAAAGGCACAUUACAGUGGGUGCAUAACACCAUGUUUAUUUUUUAGAAGUAUUUCUAUUGAUGAAUUAUUAAUUUUAAUUUUAUGAGUAUUUUUAUAUUAAACAAUGUAUACUUAACAGGAGAAUAAAAUAUCAAUAAAAUAUUAAAUUUUUAAUAUGUAAUGAGUGUUUAGAAUAAACAUCAACAUUUUCAAAAUCAACUCUUUAGCUGCUUACAAGAUCUAAAAAAUAACAGCAGAGGGCCAGGGAUUUAGUUCAGUGAUUCCACCGCCUGCCUCACAAGCGCAAGGACCUGGAUUCAAUUCCCGGUACCACAAAAAAAAAAUAAAAUAAAUAACAGCAGAAAUAAAUUCCUAUAUGAACUACAAAAAAAAUACAAAGAAAACUCUACCACAGAAAUAAUCUUUGCUUCAAUUAUUAUACCUAAGGCAGUCUUUACACAUGAGCAUAGCAUGUUCCAUACUCAAGUAUCACACAGAUAGCACAUGUGUUUUGUUCUCCUGUCUUUUUUGGUAGGACAAAGUUGACAUCUUGCUGGUCUUCCUGUCUUCUUAGGAGAUUCUUGUGAUGUUUCACCUGUUUAUUGGUCUGCUUCAGAAUACUUUUUUUUUUUUUUGGUACUGGGGAUCAAACUCAGGAUCUUGCACUUGUGAGGCAGGCGGUAGAACCACUGAACUAAAUCCCCGGCCCCUCCAGAAUACUUUUGAGAAGUUCUUUGGUCAGAUACAUAUUGUUCUUCCUCUGUUGUAAUUGAUCAUUUAUCAAUUUCAGUGCCAAUCCUCUAAGAAAAUUUCUCCAUGAUAUUUUGUGCUUGUUAUUUUCUUUGUAAACUAUGAAACUAUUAAUGGCUCACAUGUUUAGAAUUGAGUAAAACACAACCAUUGAUCAAUGUUUUGUGUUUUGAGUGACAUUACACUUGCUGCUCUGCCUUUCAUUUUAUUGUAAAAUGUGACUAUUGCUGGUUCAUUUGUGUUAAGGAUUCACUAUCAAUCUUUUGUUUGUGUGUGUGUUUUGAGAUAGGGUCUGCCUAUGUAGUCCAGGCUAGCCUUGAACUCACUAUCCUGCCUCAGCCUCCUGAGUGCUGGGAUUACAGGCAUGUACUACCAUCCCAGGCCUCACUAUCACUCUUAUCAUAAUGGUAUAACAUUGACAGUAUCAAUAUUACUUUAUUUUUCUUGGACAUAUAGAAGGCCAAUGUAAAGAUCUGGUGGCUGAGUUCCAGGAUACAUUUCUAAAUUCAAAGUGUAAAAUGUCUUUGUAUCUACCAGGGCAUAUAUUUUUAUACCAUAUUUGGAAGAUGCACUUGGCACGUAUUGCCAAAAGCUUCAACAACCACAAAAUGAUCCAAGUUGUUUGUCAGUUGUUGUGCAUUCAGAUGGUGUAUAAAUUGCUUGACACUUUGAAAUAAAGCUUUCAAAAAAUGAGUGAAUAGCAGCCAAAUUGUCAGGGGGUUUUUUGUUUUGUUUU
rnacentral:lncRNA from 1 species